UACGUAGGUGGCAAGCGUUGUCCGGAAUUAUUGGGCCUAAAGCAUCCGUAGCCGGUUCUACAAGUCUUCCGUUAAAUCCACCUGCUUAACAGAUGGGCUGCGGAGGAUACUAUGGAGCUAGGAGGCGGGAGAGGCAAGCGGUACUUAGUGGGUAGGGGUAAAAUCCGUUGAUCCAUUGAAGACCACCAGUGGCGAAGGCGGCUUGCCAGAACGCACUCGACGGUGAGGGAUGAAAGCUGGGGGAGCAAACCGG
rnacentral:rRNA from 1 species